CAGCCGCCGCGGUAAUACGUAGGUGGCAAGCGUUGUCCGGAAUUAUUGGGCGUAAAGGGCUCGCAGGCGGUUUCUUAAGUCUGAUGUGAAAGCCCCCGGCUCAACCGGGGAGGGUCAUUGGAAACUGGGAAACUUGAGUGCAGAAGAGGAGAGUGGAAUUCCACGUGUAGCGGUGAAAUGCGUAGAGAUGUGGAGGAACACCAGUGGCGAAGGCGACUCUCUGGUCUGUAACUGACGCUGAGGAGCGAAAGCAUGGGGAGCGAACAGGAUUAGAUACCCGUGUAGUCCCUGUCUCUUAUAC
rnacentral:rRNA from 1 species